GACGAACGCUGGCGGCGUGCUUAACACAUGCAAGUCGAACGGAAAGGCCCUGCUUUUGUGGGGUGCUCGAGUGGCGAACGGGUGAGUAACACGUGAGUAACCUGCCCUUGACUUUGGGAUAACUUUAGGAAACUGGGGCUAAUACCGGAUAGGAGCUCCUGCUGCAUGGGGGGGGUUGGAAAGUUUCGGUGGUUGGGGAUGGACUCGCGGCUUAUCAGCUUGUUGGUGGGGUAGUGGCUUACCAAGGCUUUGACGGGUAGCCGGCCUGAGAGGGUGGCCGGCCACAUUGGUACUAAGGUACGGCCCAGAAUCCUACGGGAGGCAGCAGUGGAGAAUAUUGCACAAUGGGCGGAAGCCUGAUGCGGCAACGCCGCGUGCGGGAUGACGGGCUUCGAGUUGUAAACCACUUUCGCCUGUGACGAAGCGGGAGUGACGGUAAUGGGUAAAGAAGCACCGGCUAACUACGUG
rnacentral:rRNA from 1 species